rnacentral:rRNA from 1 species
CGUGUAGGCGGUCAGGUAAGUGGAAUGUGAAAUGCCCCGGCUCACCCGGGGACCGGCAUCCCAAACUGCCUGGCUUGAGUAUGGGAGAGGAUGGAGGAAUUCCUGGUGUAGCGGUGAAAUGCGUAGAUAUCAGGAGGAACACCGGUGGCGAAGGCGUCCAUCUGGCCCAAUACUGACGCUGAGGCGCGAAAGCUAGGGGAGCAAAACGG